ensembl:lncRNA
AGAGAAAUAAGAGUGACGGAGAAAUAUGAAGUGACACGGAGCGUCACUGGCACAUCCUGUGUGAGUGAAACCUCCUGUUUGACCGUUGCAGGUGAGACAUGAGAGGCGUGACGAGUCCAAACAAGAGAGUCCAGCCAGGUGGAUGUGGUGGGUGAGGUGGGUGAGGUGGAUGAGGUAGGUGAGCUGGAUGAGGUGCGUGAGGUGGGUGAGCUGGGUGAGGUGGGUGAGGUGGGUGAGGGGGAUGAGGGUGGGUGAGGGGAUGCGGUAGGUGAGGUGUGAGGUGGGUGAGGUGGAUGAGGUGUGAGGUGGGUGAGGUGUGAGGUGGGUGAGGUGGGUGAGGUGGAUGAGCUGGGUGAGGUGGGUGAGGUGGGUGAGGUGGAUGAGGUGG